AGGUGCCUAAGUACACUUUUCAUUGUAAGAACAUCAAUUUUACAUCAGAGAGACUGAAGAUAAGGAAAUAACGCAAAGCGCCCGUCACCGUGUCACCAAGGCAAACAGCGCAAGGCCGAAUUGGUAUCACUAUUUGAGUGAGACGGAAAUGGCAGGGAGAAUCUUGCCAAUCUAAAAUCCAGCAGUUUGUUGUUGCCAAGAGCACAUCAUGAAAUUCCGUCCGAAUGAACGCUUCAUGUCCACGUCUGACCAACUUUACCUUGGUCCCAAGAGGCCUCCCUGCUUGAGCUGAACUGUCCGUCCAACGAAAAGAGUCUCGGAGAUGGUGACAUUCUGUGAAUGAGGAGGAAUGAACAAUAUCUUACAUGAACGCUAUGGUUCUUCCCUGUUUGGUCCAACAUGAUGGA